rnacentral:rRNA from 1 species
AUUGAGCGCUGGCGGCAUGCUUUACACAUGCAAGUCGAACGGCAGCAUGGAUGGUGCUUGCACUAUCUGAUGGCGAGUGGCGAACGGGUGAGUAAUACAUCGGAACGUACCGUUUAGUGGGGGACAACUUUCAGAAAUGGAAGCUAAUACCGCAUACGAGCUACGGUUGAAAGCAGGGGAUCUUCGGACCUUGUGCUAAACGAGCGGCCGAUGGAAGAUUAGCUAGUUGGUGGGGUAAAGGCUCACCAAGGCGACGAUCUUUAGCGGGUCUGGGAGGACGAUCCGCCAAACUGGAACUGAGACACGGUCCAGCCUCCUACGGGAGGCAGCAGUGGGGCAUUUUGGACAAUGGGGGCAACCCUAAUCCAGCAAUGCCGCGUGAGUGAAGAAGGCCUUCGGGUUGUAAAGCUCUUUUGUUAGGGAAGAAAAGGACUUCAAUAAUACUGGGGUCUGAUGACGGUACCUAAAGAAUAAGCACCGGCUAACUACGUGCCAGCAGCCGCCGUAAUAC